UGAACGCUGGCGGAAUGCUUUACACAUGCAAGUCGAGCGGCAGCUCGGGGGCAACCCUGGUGGCGAGCGGCGAACGGGUGAGUAAUACAUCGGAACAUGCCCAGUCGUGGGGGAUAACACUUCGAAAGAAGUGCUAAUACCGCAUACGUCCUGAGGGGGAAAGCGGGGGAUCGCAAGACCUCGCGCGAUUGGAGUGGCCGAUGUCAGAUUAGCUAGUUGGUGGGGUAAAGGCCUACCAAGGCAACGAUCUGUAGCUGGUCUGAGAGGAUGAUCAGCCACACUGGGACUGAGACACGGCCCAGACUCCUACGGGAGGCAGCAGUGGGGAAUUUUGGACAAUGGGGGCAACCCUGAUCCAGCCAUUCCGCGUGAGUGAAGAAGGCCUUCGGGUUGUAAAGCUCUUUCGGCAGGAACGAAACGGUGAGCUCUAACAUAGCUUGCUAAUGACGGUACCUGAAGAAGAAGCACCGGCUAACUACGUG
rnacentral:rRNA from 1 species